GCUGAAAUAGCUCAGUUGGGAGAGCUUUACACUGAAGCUCUAAAGGUUCUUUGGUUCAAUCCCGGGUUUCAGCA
rnacentral:tRNA from 2 species